UCCCCCCUCAAACCUCGUGUUUGGAGUUGGACCAGGUCGACUGCAGUCAGCCGACCGGUCUCAAAGACAAUGACGGCGUCUGGACGGACCCUCGCUGCAACGAGCUUUGCAAAAGGCACGCGGUGAGUCUGUAAAGGUCCCUCCGGCCGGUCCCCCUUUUUACCAUUUUGUAA
rnacentral:misc_RNA from 1 species